AUUGAACGCUGGCGGCAUGCUUUACACAUGCAAGUCGAACGGUAACAGGUUAAGCUGACGAGUGGCGAACGGGUGAGUAAUGCAUCGGAACGUGCCCGAUCGUGGGGGAUAACGCAGCGAAAGCUGCGCUAAUACCGCAUACGAUCUGAGGAUGAAAGCGGGGGACCGUAAGGCCUCGCGCGAUCGGAGCGGCCGAUGUCAGAUUAGGUAGUUGGUGGGGUAAAGGCUCACCAAGCCGACGAUCUGUAGCUGGUCUGAGAGGACGACCAGCCACACUGGACCUGAGAAACGGCCCAGACUCCUCCGGGAGGCAGCAGUGGGGAAUUUUGGACAAUGGGCGAAAGCCUGAUCCAGCAAUGCCGCGUGCAGGAAGAAGGCCUUCGGGUUGUAAACUGCUUUUGUACGGAGCGAAAAGGCUCUCUCUAAUACAGGGGGCUCAUGACGGUACCGUAAGAAUAAGCACCGGCUAACUACGUGCCAGCCGCCGCGGUAACAC
rnacentral:rRNA from 1 species